GCGGCCGAGGCGGGGAGCGGCGGGGCCGCGGACGCCUUCCGCCGGGCGGAGCCGAGCCGAGCGGCGGCGGCGGGGUCUCGCUCCCGGUGGCGGUCCCGCCUGGCCCUCGGCGGGCAGGUGCGGUGGGGCCCGGGGCUGCUGCGGCCCGGCGGGAGAGGAGAGCGGAGCGGAGCGGAGCGCUGCCGGCGCCGGCUCGCAGCCGCCUGAGGGAAGAGGCGCGGCGGAGCCCGGCGCUCCCCGCGUCCCCGCCGCAGACACAGCUCGGCCACCGCCUGACCCGCUGCCCCGGGCCCCGCGGCGGCCGCCGAACACCUGAGGCCUCCGCCAGCAGCGGCCGGGGCUGGGGAGGUGGGUGCAGCCUACCAUCCAGCCAGCAGCCCAGGGAUGCCUGUGGACCCACAUGAGCCAGCACCAAUAAGGACCCUUUCAUGCCAUGGUGGACUCCAGAGAUGUAGGAACCCCUGUCUUGGAGGCUACAGAAACACGGUCUCAAAAGCUGAAUUGCUCUAAAUCCACAUGCCAAAGUGGAACCUGUUUUUCCUGACUCUGUGCCCUGCACUCAGCUAUCAGUCUUGCCUGCAAUGCUGUAAAGCAGAUAUUGCUGUGGAAGAGCCUGGCUGAUGAGACACACAGUUCCUACUCACCUCCUUGAGCAUCAAGUGGUGUCAGCUGGGAUGACUGGAGAAGCCCAUCUCUUCCCCUCGUCCUCUAAGAUCAGACUUUUCUGGAGGAACUGCCAUCGCCUUGCUGGGAGGCCGAAGCGGUGAGGUGCAGACCCCCGGGCGCCUUGCCAGGGAUUUGUUAGAUGGAAGCCUAGGCAAUGAAGAAAGUAAGGAAAUCUCACCGGGAGCAACACCCACGUGCAGGUACCAAACGCCUGCAUGCACCUGAAUUCAAUUGAUGCAAAGAAGCUGAAUUUAAAAUGCACUACAGAACAAAACAGGGCCAGCUGGAGGAUUUCCUGUCAGAGAAAGGAGAAGCCUGGGGAAGCAGCAGGCAGAAACACCGAGCUGUGACACAUUCCUCCUGGCUGACUGUGAACCUUUCUGCAGUAAGAUUUGAAACAGCCAGAUUCCAGCUUAGAUCAAAGUCCUUAGGAUUCACUUGUGACUUCCAGUAAGGCUUCUUUAAGGUCUGCUGUUUUCUGGUUGGAGUAUUUUUUAUAGUCUGCAUUAUAAGAAAACCCACACAUGAAGAAAGGAAGAAAGAAGUAAAUGGAAAACAAACUUCAGGCAUGGCCAUUAAUUCUUCUGGGGAAAGGACAGCCUGCCUUCUUCAAGCGUCCAGACCUGCUGCAGAAUAUGCAAGAAUUUCAUAUUUACUCAAAUUAGAUCUCCAUGUGCAUGUUAUGAAAUAUUUCAUUCCAAACACAAGUACAAGAUAAAUGCUGUUGGAGUGGAUGUUGACUUGCAUCAAGAAAUCAAAGCAGGCGUGAAGGGAAGAAAGUACGCUCUUUUAGGGGUUCCAACAUUGAGGGGACCUUCUCCAAACAAGAACCUCCUCCAAAGGAAGAAGGCAGUUGCAGUAAGGAUGCCCUGAGGGGCACUGACAGCUCUGAGCUCCCCCUGUGACCCGACGCUGCUCUGGGGUGCUGCUCUGCUGCGCACCACUCCAUUAGGAAGCAGGAACAUACCCACGAGCUUUUUACCCAGCCUCACCAGAGGAAGGAGACUGAUUUAAAGAAAAUCCAGAAUAAGAUAUUGUUUCAACUGGAAAAGAAUCAUCAAACUGUAACAACCCAUACUGAGGCAGACUGUUCCACCCAAGCUCAGCCCCAGCUGGGAGCACACAGCCCUUCUGCAAGGUCAGCUCAGACAAGUGGCAUUUCACCACUGUUCACUCAUGCUGAAGGUGGUGCAACAAAACUGACUUUCCUGUGUGCCUCCCCUGCUUUAUCCAAUCCUGGAACAUCCCCUGUGCACCAGUAGCAGGGAGCUCGCUCUGGCACAUUCUUGGUGGAAGCUCUCUCUGCACAUUAGAAUUAAUAUAAUUAAUUAUAUUAAUUAAUAGGAUUAGUCAGGGAUCAUAAUCUUCUUACAUAGUAUAAGUGAUUGCUACCAAGGAGUCUACACCUAAAUGCCCCUACCCUAAAUGCCAUUGAAGGUAUCCUUUGAGCACACCAGGAACCUCAGCACCCUUCUCUCAAUUACCUAUGCUGUAGACAGCUAGCGUUAGACAAGCUACAGUCAAGUAAAUUCUACCUUUCAAGUCCAGUUUAUGCUGCCUGAGCACCCAGUUUUAUAGGAGAAAAUGAGGAUAUAUGAUUAGAGGUUAAUACUGACUUCUCACUGUCCUAGACAGUGAUAGCAAUUAUUUUGUAUGGACAGCUUGUUCCUUCCAUGUGUUUCUCAGAGAUAGAUCCUCUUCAGAAAACUACUCCCUGCCCAAACAGAACAAAGGGCUAUGUCAUCUUCUUCAGGAGCAACCCCUGUUCAACUAGGAUGCCACAGAUUUGCCUCUGGAGCCAACCUGAGCUGCAGUAGAGCAUGGAGAAGGCUGGUUUCAGGUCAGAAAACAGAACAAGCGUGAGCUCAUCCCCAUGCCAGUUUCUCCACAUUACAAAGUCACCGCAAGACGUGACGAUGCAUUGUUCCUGCUCCGGGAGGAUGGGAAUGAGGGCUUGUCUGCACCGCUUGGAAGAGCAAACUGGAAGGAACAAACACGCACAAGCAAUCUCAAGGAAACUCUGUUAUGACUAAAAAGAGGACUUCAGCAGCAGCAGAAAAAAGCCCACAAUGUGUGCUCUUUCACCAUGUAGUUCCUUCCACAGGUCUACCCCUCCCUUCCCUCACUGUCCUCCUGAAGAACCGUGAGUCCAACCAAGUGUUAAGGCCUGCAGUGACAUUGCUAUGACAGAUUUUUGCAGUUCUUGACCCUUGGAGGAACAUGUAGCCAACACAGCCAUGAUACAAGGCAUUUCUCUGGCUCACAGACCUAUGAGGAGCCACAGACUCCAGUUUGUUCUGCGUGACGUUACCACCACCACCGUUGCUCCUGCCACCACCACAGCCACUAGAGACAGAGCAAUGCCUGGCAUUAUUUUUCUGAUUUGUACCUAGGGACAUAGGAAAUGGAAAAAACCUGGCUGACUGCAGUGGCACAAAGUAAGGCCCUGGGUUGAGGUGUGCUGAGAAAAGGCUAUUGCUGUCUACCGACAAGAGUGAG